AUUUCCUCCAUCGCGUAGGAGGGUAAAAGAGUAACGAACACUCACCGGGACUGAGAAUUUCCGCCAAAUAUUUUCCGAUCAUACCGGAGCUAUUAUAUAGUGGACCAUGUUACUUUCGACGGUUUCGAGCUUCGCGCCGGUCUUCCGUAUCGGUGAACCACCAGCGUCCGCAGUUGGCUGGAAGCAAGCGUUGAGAUUUCGGAGGACGACGAAACGUAGUGUAAUCUCUUGCGAUUAUUCAUGCCUCGAGGUUAGGGAUAUCUGCUACCGUCCACCUGGCACAGAGUUGAAUAUUUUGAAUGGUGUUAAUCUUUCUCUCCGCGAGAAGAGCUUCGGCUUGAUUUUUGGCAAGAGUGGGAGUGGGAAAACUACCCUUCUGCAGCUUCUGGCGGGGCUGAACAAACCAACAUCAGGUUCGAUUUGUAUCCAAAGAUAUGGGGAUGAUGGCCAACCAAAUGCGGAUUCUGAGUUGUUGCCCACUGAAAAAGUUGGCAUCGUUUUCCAGUUUCCAGAGAGAUUCUUUGUUGCAGAUAAUGUGCUUGACGAGAUUACUUUUGGUUGGCCAAGGCAAAAGGGUAGUUUGCAGUUAAAGGAGCAUUUGACUUCAAACCUCCAGAGAGCAUUUAAUUGGGUUGGGUUAGACAGCAUCCCACUUGAUAAAGACCCCCAGUUACUAAGUGGAGGCUACAAGCGUCGGCUUGCACUGGCUAUUCAAUUGGUGCAAACUCCUGAUUUAUUGAUUCUGGAUGAGCCCCUUGCUGGUCUUGAUUGGAAAGCACGCGCAGAUGUUGCAAAGCUCUUGAAGCACCUGAAGAAGGAACUGACUUUACUUGUUGUAAGUCAUGACCUAAGAGAGUUAGCAACCUUGGUCGACCAGUCAUGGAGAAUGGAAUCAGGUGGUGUUCUUGUUGCAGAGCGUCCACCAGUUUAGUUCGAUAUUCAUUAUUGCCGAAGGUCCAUACCAGGCCUUCCAACAAAAAGCGCAAUAACUUGGAAGGAAUUGAGGCUUGUGAUUGUCAGGUAAACUCUUACUACCACGGAAAAAAACUCUGGCGAGCGAGCUAAAAAAAAACUAUUGAUGUUCCAUUGAACUCUCAUCCAGCUGAGCUUACCGGCAGCCUAGGCUCAAAGAAUCGUUACUUUGAUUUUCACAACUUAGCCAAGGUAACUGGUGCUGUUACCAAUGAUCUCGAUAGGAUAAUAGACGAAAAUUACUAUCCUCUAGAGAGUGCAAGAACAUCAAACCUGCGUCAUAGGCCUAUUGGUAUUGGUGUACAUGGUCUCGCAGGCGUCUUCAUCCUCCUUGGAAUGUCGUUUGACUCUCCAGAGGUAAACUUGUCUGCGCAAUUAUCAACGUUAGAAAAUAUUUUGUUUUCUCUGUUAUGGCCUAAGCAGUUUAAUUUGUUACUCGGGCCCUCCAACUGAAUACGAAUAUAUCUCGGGCCCUCCAACUGAAUACGAAUAUAUUUGAAACUAUAUACUACCACGCUCUCAAAGCUAUCUGCAAAAGAUGGUGCCUAUGAGACAUAUAAAGGAAGUCCCAUGAGCAAGGGUAUUCUUCAACCUGACAUGUGGAAGGUGACUCCAUCAUACCGCUGUGACUGGCCUGUUCUUAGGGACAUGAUCUCAAAGAAUGGAGUGAGGAACACUCUUUUGGUAUCGCUGGCUGGGAACAACAAAGGCUUGGAGCCUUAUGCAUCAAAUAUCAGCAACGGAGGCUUGAGUGGUGAGAUUGCCAAUAAGCACCUUCUUCACGAUCUAAUUAAUAAGGGCUUUGGUCUCCGAGAAUAAAAAAGAUUCUUAUUAGUGAGAAGGGUUCUGUUGGAAAUAUCCAGGACAUACCCGAUGACCUGAAAGCGAUAUACAAAACUGCUUGGGAGGUAAAAAAAUGAACGUUGGUGAAGAUGGCUGUUGUUCGUGGAGCUUACGUUGAUCAGAGUCAGAGUUUUGAUAUUCAUUUGGAUGAACCGAGCAGAAUGAAAGUCACCGAUCUUCACUUCUACACGUGGUUUCAGGGGCAGAGCAAUCGACAAAACCCAAAGGAAAUUGAAACCGAAGGACAUUCCAAAAGACAAGAAUUAGUGUAUUUUGUGGGCGUUUUCUGUAUACAUGAAGGGAUUUUGUUAAAAAAAGUUGUGGAUUUACGACUUUGGUUUUUCAACACCAUUGUUGUCUACUUUGUAUGUGAAUUUUUGUGUUGGUUUUCUGUCUUC